rnacentral:rRNA from 1 species
AUGGGGGCUCGUGCUAUAACGGUAAAUUAUGUCAAUGCAUACUACCCUAAAGCAACUCGCAAAACAGGGGGGUGGAGUAUCCCUCCUAGGGGAUUUGUGAAGGUGAAUGUUGAAGCCGCGUUCGAUCAUGAUCUUCUUCAAGGUGCAGCUGGGGCAGUCCUGAGAGAUGAUAAGGGAAGGUUCAUUGUCGGAGGAAACUGGAGGAUUGACUGGUGUGAUGAUGUAUUAACAGCAGAAGUUCUGGCUCUUAAAUUUGGUUUAUUCCUAGCACAGAAGGCGGGCUGCAAUCGCCUUGUUGUAAACUCAGAUAACAUGGAAGUGAUCGACGUAAUGAAGAAUGGAGGACACUCGGCGGGAGCCGCAGCUGCAGUUUUUAAUGAUUGUUAUUUUUUGGCUUGUGAUUUUCCUAUAGUUAAAGAACACUGUAAUAGGGAAGCAAAUAGAGUGGCCCAUGAAAUAGCUAGGUUAGCAAAAAUUUCAGCCACUAGGGAUUGGUUUGAGGAGCCUAUGAAGGAUAUUGUACCUCUUCUUAUGGACGAUGUAACAAUUAUUUCUAACUAA